AUGUACCACGCGUACACUCCGGUUCUGAGCGCGCCGUCCGCGCCCACCUGACAGCUGCUCGCUACGUUUUGUUAGCC
rnacentral:sRNA from 5 species